AUCAAAGGCUAGGGGUGUCCUGUGGUGUGUUCACGGGCUGAGAUAGACCCUUAAAUACCUGAUCCGGAUCAUACCGGCGGAGGGAAGCUGUGAAGCCCACUG
rnacentral:ncRNA from 2 species